rnacentral:rRNA from 1 species
GAUGAACGCUGGCGGCGUGCUUAACACAUGCAAGUCGAACGGAAAGGCCCAAGCUUGCUUGGGUACUCGAGUGGCGAACGGGUGAGUAACACGUGGGUGAUCUGCCCUGCACUUCGGGAUAAGCCUGGGAAACUGGGUCUAAUACCGGAUAGGACGAUGGGUUGGAUGCCAUUGUGGAAAGUUUUUUCGGUGUGGGAUGAGGUCGCGGCCUAUCAGCUUGUUGGUGGGGUAAUGGCCUACCAAGGCGUCGACGGGGAGCCGGCAUGAGGGGGUGUACGGACGCAUUGGGACUGAGAGGCGGGCCGGAGUCCGACAGGAUGGAGAAGGGGGGAAUAUUGGACCCUGGGCGCCAGCCUGAGGCAGCGAGGCCGCGUGGGGGAUGACGGCCUUCGGGUUGUAGACUCCUCUCGAUGGGGACGAAGCGUUUUUGUGACGGUACCUGGAGAAGAAGCACCGGCUAACUACGUG